rnacentral:rRNA from 1 species
UACAGAGGUCUCAAGCGUUGUUCGGAUUCAUUGGGCGUAAAGGGUGCGUAGGCGGCGCGGUAAGUCGGGUGUGAAAUCUUGGAGCUUAACUCCGAAACUGCAUUCGAUACUGCCGUGCUUGAGGACUGGAGAGGAGACUGGAAUUUACGGUGUAGCGGUGAAAUGCGUAGAUAUCGUAAGGAAGACCAGUGGCGAAGGCGGGGUCUCUGGACAGUUCCUGACGUGAGGCACGAAGGCCAGGGGAGCAAACGGG